rnacentral:lncRNA from 1 species
AAGUGGUUUUAUUCAAUGCAUUCUGAGCAACCCGAGCAGCUGCUGCGCGCUUCUUGCCAUGUUGGUGAUCAGCAAACUUAAAAACAUCUGCUUGAGCACGAUGGAUAGCAUCUUUGAAAUCAAAAGAACGCUGUCGCGCAUAUCCAUACAAACGGGCGAGUUCAUUAAUAGCAAACUUAUUGUAAAGGAUUCUAGAUUCAUAUUCACGACGGUGAAGCGACAUGGCGAUCAACUGCAUAAGUACUUUCUCCACCAAAUUCAUAAUUGAGGUGAUGAAUAAAGUGAUAAGUACAUUGUUGGCGCUCUGUUGCCAAGGGAGUUUUACGCGUACAUGAUCAGGUACACCAUAAUCACCAAUAUGACGGCGGGUCAUAAUGGGAAGGAAACUGACAUAUACAGCUAACAUCCAAAGGAACAAUGUAAUAGGAAACUCAAGGGCAACUGCCAUGCAUCUCCAUUUAGUAACGUUGUUACUGAUGAAGGAGACGAAGAAGGCAAAGAAAUAAGGAAUUACUUUGGCAGCAUAGCGAGCAGCCCAUAUAGAGAGCCAUAUAAUUUCCCACCAGAUGGCCAUCCACAUCAAAUCAACACCUCCAACGUGUAAAUGGCGCUCAUAUUCAUGACCUAGUUCAUCACGGUAAGGAGGUUGUGGGUGAUAAAAGCGACCAAUGAAUACUGGAAUCAAGAGUAAAACCCCGAGAGGAAUAAUGUAAAUGAGCGAACGAAGGUAAAAGCUUCGCUGUUGAAUAAAUUUGAAUAUGCGACCAAAAAUAGUUACAGGAUGGUCCGGAGCCUUAAUAGGAGCUUCAGUACCAAACGUCACUACACCAAAGUUGUCUAAAUGAUUCUCAGCCUCUUGAGCGGCUUCUUCAUUCUCCGCAGUACGUUCAUAAUCGCCCGACUUUUUAGACUUGGAGGUACGCAUGGAUUUAGAACGAUGGGAAGAAAGGCGUCGCAUAGAUCCGCGAACACUUCGGCCGGUAGGACGUCUUUGCAAAGACUGAGAACCACGGACAGCCAUUUCGGCAUUAAAAAUCUGAUUUUCAUCUUCCAAAGUCAUGUGCGAGCGAUAUGAGACGACAGAAGCAAUAGGCGAUCGAGAUCGCUCAUGUUCAGGAGAGUGCGGCAACUGCCUUUGUUUGGAUUCUGGGUGCAACUUUGAUAGUUCCAUUUCCAGGGACGAAGUAUCACUAGUCCCAGUAUGACCUUGAUUUUCUGUAGAAUGCUGGGGAGAAUGCUGAGGUUGGUGAGCCUUGGCAUCAGAGUUUUCGUUAUCAGCUUGAUCAGAAUUGGGAUCCUGAUUAGUAUACUCUGGCGGCAUACCGUCUUUCGAGUUUGACCAAUGAUGGCGACCAGGACUAGAAGUAGGAGAAGUAGGAGAAGACAUGAUUAAAGGAGCGAGCGAAAACCGUAAGUAUGAAGAAUUUAAAAAAUAAGAAACUGUCUGAAAAGGUUUAAAUGAAAAAGGGAAAAGAAAAACAGACAAGGAUGAAUUGAUUUGAGUUACCAGGAAUAGGGAAUAUGAUGAAAGGAAUGAGAAGAAACUAUCGUCCAGAGGAAAAGAAAAAAUACACAAGAGGGAAUAAAUAGAAAACUUGACCAAACGUCAAUAAAAUGCAGAAAUCCAAGGAUGAGUAAUGAUUAAACACAAGUACAAGGAAGGAACUAAAAAUGAGAGGAAAAACAAAAAAGUCGAUAACUUGGGUACCUAAAAAAAAAAGAGAUUCUAAAUGUUUAAAAUAGAUAGCUUGGAAUGGGGAUGUGGUUGACAAAUGAGGUCAAAUAAUCAAUCGUGAGAUAAACAAUUUAACUCUAAGGAAAAAAUUUUUGAAAGUAAAACCGCAAAAAGACCCCAACAACAAAGAACUGUAAAAAAUACUUUUAUUUUUUAUUGCUUGGACAAAUUUAGUAUAAGAUUAACAAUGGCAACAGAUGAAACAGAACU